rnacentral:rRNA from 1 species
CCUACGGGCGGCUGCAGUGGGGAAUAUUGCACAAUGGGCGCAAGCCUGAUGCAGCCAUGCCGCGUGUGUGAAGAAGGCCUUCGGGUUGUAAAGCACUUUCAGCGGGGAGGAAGGCGUUAAGGUUAAUAACCUUGUCGAUUGACGUUACCCGCAGAAGAAGCACCGGCUAACUCCGUGCCAGCAGCCGCGGUAAUACGGAGGGUGCAAGCGUUAAUCGGAAUUACUGGGCGUAAAGCGCACGCAGGCGGUCUGUCAAGUCGGAUGUGAAAUCCCCGGGCUCAACCUGGGAACUGCAUUCGAAACUGGCAGGCUAGAGUCUUGUAGAGGGGGGUAGAAUUCCAGGUGUAGCGGUGAAAUGCGUAGAGAUCCGGAGGAAUACCGGUGGCGAAGGCGGCCCCCUGGACAAAGACUGACGCUCAGGUGCGAAAGCGUGGGGAGCAAACAGGAUUAGAUACCCGAGUAGUC